UGGAAGGCUCACAUGGAGACCCACACCAUUGUGCACAUAGAUUACCCUAUUCUUCAACAUAACUAUUUAUGGAUCAUGGGGAGUCAGAGUGGACAGCCCAGAGAAACGUCAAGCAAUAGCAGAGCUCUUCCUCAGAGAUCUUCUGCCUGUACUGUAUGCAACUACCUUCUUAAAACUGAGAGGCGGCACCUGGAUACCUGGCUGGGCCAAAUGGACUCACAAUUCACCUCUCCCCAAUCUCUCUAUGUCAAAACCCAGCUUUGUCAUCACAGGGUAAACUGAGUUGUAGGCACAGACUUUCUUCCCUGCCCAUCCAAACAGCCUCAGGUCUCCAGAUAAUGACAGAGAGGAGGGGAAAAGACACGCCAAAAUUCCCAGAAGUAGGGGUCACAGAAAAUGUUCCACGGCAUUAUUGUCAAGGCUUCUGAGUGAUGUAACAUGACACCCAGCGUAUCCUGCUUUUGAAAGGAAACUUCGAUGGUGGUUGGCAAAUUACCAUUCACAGCUCUGACUGAUGGAGUCACCGGAGAGGCGAAAGAGCCGCCGCCGCACCUGGUGUCUGUAAUUACAGGCUUUCACCGGAGGAAAGAAGGGAUGAAGCGGCCAAAUACAGCUGAGCACAGAGACAGGGAGGGGUUGCUCAGGGUUGGGCAGGAAAAGCCAGCAACCGAGGAUGCUGCUCCGCCCCGCCCCUCCCCGCCCCAAAUCUGCACGCUCAUCUUUUUACUUGGGGCUUGUCUGUUUCCUUUUCUUUCUGUUUUCCCUCAUCUCAGAACUCUUUGUCCGACUUCCCACAGCAGCCAUAAGGAUGAAAUCAAAGCUCUUGAGGCACCCACAUCUUUGUCGCAAGUGACCUGUGUUUUGCUCCAGAGGCGCCCUCUCUGAUGUUAUUAUGUCUGAGAACUUACCAGAACACUCAAGAAUUCACUUCAGAGACAAUGCAGAGAGGGGACUCAAACAAAACAAAACAGGCCACGAUGUUCAGUUGUUUCCUAAGCCAGGCCUUUCAGUUAUCCCUUGUAAUUUUUGAAGUGGUAUGAGAACAUUUUGUACCUGGAAAAUAAUCUUCUGUCUUGCACCGGAACUGUAGUUGGCUGGCUUUCCCUUCUCCCCUGCAUUCCCUUCCUCUCCUCCCCUGCUUUCCCUCUCAUAACGCUGGGUUACAACCUAGGGCCUCAUGCAAGCUGUCUACAACAGCAUCCCAACCCUGUGCUGAUUUAACUUAUAAAUUAAAAUACAUCAAAUGUA